UAUUAUUAAGUUGUGCAACAAGCAUGUUGUAAUCAGGUUAGGUUCGGAAGAAAGCAGCCUCAUCAACCCCUGCUUGUGUGCACUUUUUUUAUGGAGGUG
rnacentral:SRP_RNA from 1 species